GACCGUGCUAAGGUAGCAUAAUCAUUUGUUCUUUAAUUAAGAGCUAGAAUGAAGGAGCUGACGACGCUUAAACUUUUAAGCUAGAUUUAUGGAACUUAAUGUUUGCUUCAAAAAGAGCAGAUAAGCUAGGGGGACGAUAAGACCCUAUAAAACUUUAAUUUUAAGGUGUGUGUAAUAUUUAGAAUAAAAUAGACACUUAAAUUUAAGCUGGGGCGGUAAUUAAAGUACAUUAAGAAGAUUAACACAGUUAAUGAUAUUAAGGAUCUCAUUAAGAGAUAGAACAAGUUACUUUAGGGAUAACAGCACAAUUUUUCCAGAUAGUUCACAUAAAAGGAAAAGACUUGUGACCUCGAUGUUGAAUUAAGGUGUCUUAUUUAAGCAAAAAUAAAUAAAGAGGGUCUGUUCGACCUUUAUUUCCUU
rnacentral:rRNA from 1 species